UGCAAGUCGUACGCUUCUUUUUCCACCGGAGCUUGCUCCACCGGAAAAAGAGGAGUGGCGAACGGGUGAGUAACACGUGGGUAACCUGCCCAUCAGAAGGGGAUAACACUUGGAAACAGGUGCUAAUACCGUAUAACAAUCGAAACCGCAUGGUUUUGAUUUGAAAGGCGCUUUCGGGUGUCGCUGAUGGAUGGACCCGCGGUGCAUUAGCUAGUUGGUGAGGUAACGGCUCACCAAGGCCACGAUGCAUAGCCGACCUGAGAGGGUGAUCGGCCACAUUGGGACUGAGACACGGCCCAAACUCCUACGGGAGGCAGCAGUAGGGAAUCUUCGGCAAUGGACGAAAGUCUGACCGAGCAACGCCGCGUGAGUGAAGAAGGUUUUCGGAUCGUAAAACUCUGUUGUUAGAGAAGAAUAAGGAUGAGAGUAACUGUUCAUCCCUUGACGGUAUCUAACCAGAAAGCCACGGCUAACUACGUGCC
rnacentral:rRNA from 1 species